rnacentral:pre_miRNA from 14 species
AUUUUAAUGAAAGACCCCUGGAGUGGGGAGAUCCUCACUCAAGUCUCAGGAUGACAUGACCCCCCAAGAACUCACGUGAGACC